rnacentral:rRNA from 1 species
CAGCAGCCGCGGUAAUACGAAGGGGGCUAGCGUUGUUCGGAUUUACUGGGCGUAAAGCGCACGUAGGCGGACUUUUAAGUCAGGGGUGAAAUCCCGGGGCUCAACCCCGGAACUGCCUUUGAUACUGGAAGCCUUGAGUAUGGUAGAGGUGAGUGGAAUUCCGAGUGUAGAGGUGAAAUUCGUAGAUAUUCGGAGGAACACCAGUGGCGAAGGCGGCUCACUGGACCAUUACUGACGCUGAGGUGCGAAAGCGUGGGGAGCAAACAGGAUUAGAUACCCCAGUAGUCCCUGUCUCUUAUAA